GUAGGGUGCGAGCGUUAAUCGGAAUUACUGGGCGUAAAGCGUGCGCAGGUGGUUUUGUAAGUCAGAUGUGAAAUCCCCGGGCUUAACCUGGGAACUGCGUUUGAAACUGCAAGGCUAGAGUGUGGCAGAGGGGGGGUGGAAUUCCGCGUGUAGCAGUGAAAUGCGUAGAGAUGCGGAGGAACACCGAUGGCGAAGGCAGCCCCCUGGGUCAACACUGACGCUCAGGCACGAAAGCAUGGGGGAGCAAACAGGAUUAGAUACCCUGGUAGUCCAUGCCCUAAACGAUGUCAACUAGUUGUCGGGUCUUAACGGGCUUGGUAACGUAGCUAACGCGUGAAGUUGACCGCCUGGGGAGUACGAUCGCAAGAUUA
rnacentral:rRNA from 1 species